rfam:Anolis carolinensis chromosome 5, whole genome shotgun sequence.
AGAUGGAAUAAUUUUCUGUCACCCCAUUGAUUCCUGGAGUUGAUUUCCCUAAUCUGGUUGACUAAGUGAGUAUCCAGUUUCUGCUUCGCAUCUCCAUGUGUCCCUUUGAAAGUGGCAUGCUUCAUAUGGAAGAGAUAGGAAUGCACUGUUCUUCAGUAAUGGGUUGAUGAUAACUGCACUCUCAUGCUAGAACCUUAAAAUACAAUCUUAUCAUCUAUGGGACAAUAAACAUAUCCCCCUGUGUUGUCUCGUCUUAUGAG